CGGACCCCACCAUCGCGCCCCGUGGGGUCCUUUUGUGCACGAAGCAGAGCUCCCCUCCCCUGUCUGCAAACGGCAGCCCCGUUUCCCAGGACUGCGUGCCCUGAAUAAUAAAAAAAUUGGCUUCUCUAGGGUCGCAGCCUGGGCCCCGCCCCGGGGAGCUGAAAACUGGAACUUGUCUCCAGGCGGGCCUCUUGGGGGUUCCCCGAAGCGUCCCCGACACCCGCGGCUGUAAGGUCACCGGCCGAGGGUAGAAGAGAGGGUCCAGGGCUCCACCCCUCGCCCGAGGCCGAAUCGCCGGGAGGGCCCAGGAAUCUGUGUUUUGGGGUUGCGGGCAGCGUGGGUGCAGGAUGAUGGCACACCUGUUGUGCAGACUGCAAAGGGCACCUGGUGUCUGACAAAACACGGACCCCUCCACGGGUGUUGGAUAAAUGCACCAACAAACCUGAAUGUGAGCUCCCCAGUAACACAACCCUUGCCAACAACUGAGGUCCACGUGCCAGAAAGUGAGCUACUGGAAUGUGAUGAAGGCAGAAUUAAUGAAAAUGGGAGCAAAAACGUAAGUGAACUGGGGGCAGUCUGGUCGAGGAAAGGAAACUGGCCGGGGACUAAAGUCAAAGAAGAGGAAAGGAAAUGGGCAAUGCUCUGGAUAUAGAAAUGUAUGCUGUUUCUGGGGACAUCUUCCCCAACAGAGGGAAACAAUGAAGAGAAGCAAAAUUGUAAUUUUCCUGAAUGGACGGCCUGGAGGCGAGCUUGCUCUUGGGAUUAGAUCAAGAUAGCAGGUAAAGGACCCCAUCCAUGUCCCUAUGUCUCAGAAAACCCCAGACAGAAAACAGACCAGAAAUAAUGAUGACACUGACCAGAGGAGAGGAAACUACAACCCAGCAAACACGGGACCACGGGAGCAAACUAUUGGGAAGGGAAAAGCAGACUGAGAGGGAUUCCCAGCUGGAGGAUGAGCUGGGAUUGCCUGUCCGCAAAAAGAAAACAGAGUCUGUCAACCCUAGCAGAAAUGCGCAGUUCAGGUGGCAGAGGAGUUAACUCUCUGGAAGAUUACAGAGAUUGUUGCCCACUGCUAUGUAAAGGGAGCAACCAUAGGGACCCAAGCACAUGCCAGUGACCUUGUAAGUUCCCUCUGGGUAGAGAUGAAGGAGGAGAAUCCACUGGGGACCCGCUGCCUUGAGGAUUUAGUAAGAGAUCUGCAUAUAAUGGAG